rnacentral:rRNA from 1 species
UGGGGAAUAUUGGACAAUGGGGGGAACCCUGAUCCAGCCAUGCCGCGUGUGUGAAGAAGGCCUUAUGGUUGUAAAGCACUUUAAGCGAGGAGGAGGGUACUGGUAUUAAUACUACCAGCUACUGGACGUUACUCGCAGAAUAAGCACCGGCUAACUCUGUGCCAGCAGCCGCGGUAAUACAGAGGGUGCAAGCGUUAAUCGGAAUUACUGGGCGUAAAGCGCGCGUAGGUGGUUCGUUAAGUUGAAUGUGAAAGCCCCGGGCUCAACCUGGGAACUGCAGCCAAAACUGGCGGGCUAGAGUAGGGCAGAGGGUGGUGGAAUUUCCUGUGUAGCGGUGAAAUGCGUAGAUAUAGGAAGGAACACCAGUGGCGAAGGCGACCACCUGGGCUCAUACUGACACUGAGGUGCGAAAGCGUGGGGAGCAAACAGG